AUCCCCACCACCACCUCCCUACAAAUACGAAUCGCCGCCGCCUCCUCCUUACAAAUACGAGUCCCCACCUCCACCACCUUACUAUUACAAGUCCCCACCACCACCUCCAUACAAAUAUGAAUCCCCGCCACCUCCAGUCUACAAAUAUGAGUCUCCGCCACCCCCAGUUUACAAAUACAAGUCGCCACCACCACCAUACAAGUACGAGUCACCACCACCACCUCCAUACAAGUAUGAAUCCCCGCCACCUCCACCUUAUUACUACAAGUCCCCUCCACCACCACCAUACAAGUACGAGUCGCCACCACCUCCUCCGUACAAGUAUGAAUCUCCACCACCACCAGUUUACAAAUACAAGUCACCUCCGCCGCCACCUUAUUACUACAAAUCCCCACCGCCACCUCCAUACAAGUACGAGUCUCCACCUCCUCCUCCGUACAAGUAUGAAUCUCCACCACCACCACCUUAUUACUACAAAUCCCCCCCGCCACCUCCAUACAAGUACGAGUCACCGCCUCCUCCUCCGUACAAGUAUGAAUCUCCACCACCGCCAGUUUACAAAUACAAGUCACCCCCGCCACCACCUUAUUACUACAAAUCCCCGCCACCACCUCCAUACAAGUACGAGUCUCCACCUCCUCCUCCGUACAAGUAUGAAUCUCCACCACCACCUCCUUAUUACUACAAAUCCCCGCCGCCACCUCCCUACAAGUAUGAAUCCCCGCCACCACCUCCCUACAAAUACGAGUCACCUCCACCACCACCUUACUAUUACAAAUCUCCUCCACCGCCUCCAUACAAGUAUGAGUCGCCACCACCACCAGUCUACAAAUACGAGUCUCCGCCACCCCCAGUUUACAAAUACAAGUCGCCCCCUCCACCUUAUUACUACAAGUCUCCGCCACCCCCGCCAUACAAAUAUGAAUCCCCACCUCCACCUCCCUACAAGUAUGAAUCGCCUCCUCCUCCACCUUACUACUACAAGUCCCCUCCACCACCUCCCUACAAAUAUGAAUCCCCGCCACCACCUCCCUAUAAAUACGAGUCACCACCACCACCACCUUACUAUUACAAAUCUCCUCCACCGCCUCCAUACAAGUAUGAGUCGCCACCACCACCUCCCUACAAAUACGAGUCACCACCACCACCACCUUACAAGUAUGAAUCCCCACCUCCACCUCCGUACAAGUAUGAAUCACCUCCACCGCCUCCAUACAAGUAUGAAUCCCCUCCUCCACCUCCCUACAAAUACGAGUCACCACCCCCACCACCUUAUUACUACAAAUCGCCUCCGCCACCGGAGUAUCAAUCAC
rnacentral:lncRNA from 1 species